rnacentral:rRNA from 1 species
UAAGACGAACCGUACGAACGUUAUUCGGAAUCACUGGGCUUAAAGGGUGCGUAGGCGGUGCGGAAAGUUGGGUGUGAAAUCCCCCGGCUCAACCGGGGAAUUGCGCCCAAAACUACCGUGCUGGAGGGAGACAGAGGUGAGUGGAACUUAGGGUGGAGCGGUGAAAUGCGUUGAUAUCCUAAGGAACACCGGUGGCGAAAGCGACUCACUGGGUCUCUUCUGACGCUGAUGCACGAAAGCUAGGGUAGCGAACGG